AUAUAGAUCCGUAGCCAGUGCGCUAUUACACUUUCCAAGUCCUUUGAGACCAGUCGCAACUUACAAUGACGGAUCAGGGCGACAAAUUGAAAAAAAUAAGAGAUCUAACAAAUAUUUUGAAGGAUACGGACAGGAACUUGACGAUAUGCGAAGAACUUCUGUCAGCUUACAUGGAGGAAAGAGUUAAGCAAAAACAUGAGGUGAUGCAACGGCGUAAUGAUCUGGAGGCGAAAAUGGCGGAAAUUUUGGAAAAUUUGAAAACCCGAUUACUAGUGGAUUAGAAUUGCUGUUGGUGUAAAUAAAGGAUGAAAGGAGUUGUUCGCUGUAAUGAAUAUGGCGACCAAAUACGCAGGGAGAACACAAUGUUUCUUCAUUCAUCAAAACGUCACUGAAUUCAACAAAAAAACUUAUCAGAUCAAUAAGUUAGAAGGUCAAGUAAAGCCACAUUUACUUAUAUUUUCUAAACAUUUUUUACGCCAUAAUUGAUUGCAGCAUUCAGUAAAA